GAUGAACGCUGGCGGCGUGCCUAAUACAUGCAAGUCGAGCGAACAGACGAGGAGCUUGCUCCUCUGACGUUAGCGGCGGACGGGUGAGUAACACGUGGAUAACCUACCUAUAAGACUGGGAUAACUUCGGGAAACCGGAGCUAAUACCGGAUAAUAUAUUGAACCGCAUGGUUCAAUAGUGAAAGACGGUUUUGCUGUCACUUAUAGAUGGAUCCGCGCCGCUUUAGCUAGUUGGUAAGGUAACGGCCUAUCAAGGCAACGAUGCGUAGACGACCUGAGAGGGUGAUCGGCCACACUGGAACGUAGACACGGACCAGACUCCUACGGGAGGCAGCAGUAGGGAAUCUGCCGCAAUAGGCGAAAGCCUGACGGAGCAACGCCGCGUGAGUGAUGAAGGUCUUCGGAUCGUAAAACUCUGUUAUUAGGGAAGAACAAAUGUGUAAGUAACUAUGCACGUCUUGACGGUACCUAAUCAGAAAGCCACGGCUAACUACGUG
rnacentral:rRNA from 1 species